AACGAACGCUGGCGGCAUGCCUAAUACAUGCAAGUCGAACGAGAUCUUCGGAUCUAGUGGCGCACGGGUGCGUAACGCGUGGGAAUCUGCCCUUGGGUUCGGAAUAACGUCGGGAAACUGACGCUAAUACCGGAUGAUGACGUAAGUCGAAAGAUUUAUCGCCCAAGGAUGAGCCCGCGUAGGAUUAGCUAGUGGGUGGGGUAAAGGCCCACCAAGGCGACGAUCCUUAGCUGGUCUGAGAGGAUGGUCAGCCACACUGGGACUGAGACACGGCCCAGACUCCUACGGGAGGCAGCAGUAUGGAAUAUUGGACAAUGGGGGCAACCCUGAUCCAGCAAUGCCGCGUGAGUGAUGAAGGCCUUAGGGUUGUAAAGCUCUUUUACCCGGGAUGAUAAUGACAGUACCGGGAGAAUAAGCCCCGGCUAACUCCGUGCCAGCAGCCGCGGUAA
rnacentral:rRNA from 1 species